ensembl:lncRNA novel transcript
AGAUAUGUUGGAUAUUUUGCACAAGUGAAACAUCUCUACAACUGGAAUCUCCCUCCAAGACGGAUACUCUUUAUAAUAAGAUUCAUUAUUUAUUCGAUUCGUGGUGUUGGAACAGGCGAUGUAUGUGAUCUAAAAUUCCAAAUAGUAAUGGAGAAAAAGGUUGUCUUUUCCAGUACUUCAUUAGGAAAUUGUUCAAUACUGCAUGACAUUGAAACAGCUGGUGUAUUAACUAAUGUAUAUGACAGUCCAUCUCUGUACGAUGAUGUGAAAGUGCAGUUUUUCUCUUCGAAUCUUCCUAAAUACUAUGACAAUUGUUCAUUUUUCUUCUGGUUCAACACAUCUUUUAUUCAAAAUAACAGGCUUUAUCUACCAAGAAAUGAAUUGGAUAAUCCACAUCAACAAAAAGCAUGGAAAAUUUAUCCACCAGAAUUUGCCGUGGAGAUACUUUUUGGCGAGAAAUGACUUCCAAUGACGUAGCUGGAUCCGAUUAAGUAUAGUUUCCCCUUCCCCUUCUGGGAAAGAAUUAAUGUUCUUUCCAACCCCUGCCAUGUGCAUGUUCAUAUGUCCUAAGUCUUCCUUGAUGAUGUAUCUAUAUUUAUAUAUGUUUAUAUAUGUUCUUCAUAAAUCUAUUAAAUAUAUAUAGAUAAAA